CCCUUAGAUGUCCUGGGCCGCACGCGCGCUACACUGAUGCAUUCAACGAGUAUUUCCUUGGCCGAGAGGCCUGGGCAAUCUUUUAAACCUGCAUCGUGAUAGGGAUAGAUUAUUGCAAUUAUUAAUCUUGAACGAGGAAUUCCUAGUAAACGCAAAUCAUCAAUUUGCAUUGAUUACGUCCCUGCCCUUUGUACACACCGCCCGUCGCACCUACCGAUUGAAUGGUCCGGUGAAAUCUCGGGAUUGUGGCCAGUUCACUUUAUUGGGAGUUGGCUGCGAGAACUUGCUUAAACCUUAUCAUGUAGAGGAAGGUGAAGUCGUAACA
rnacentral:rRNA from 1 species